rnacentral:lncRNA from 1 species
ACGAUUUUGAGUAACCCCGAUGGCCGGCAGAAAGCUUAUUUCUUACUCUGCCACAAAAGCGCGGUCCCCGAAGGCAAGCCCCCGCCGCCCGCCAAGGGAGGCAAAGCCCUAACGCGCCUCCGUGGGCACCGCUCUCGCUCGGGGCAGCCGGUCCCCAGCCAUCGGGGGAUGCCCGGCCGGGGGAUGCCGGCACAGCCCCGCAGCGUCUCCCCCGCGGGCGGAGACAGGAGACGACUCCCCGCCGCCNGUCCCUCAGCCCGGCCGCCACCCAGCGCCAUCGAGGCGCCCCGCCGGGCGCCACUCACCCCUCUCGCCGGUCUGGAGGGCGCGGACGACGUCGUCGAGGUCGAGGUGUCGGCUGCUCUCGUCGAAGCUGUGCACGGCCAUGUGGAAGGCCUCCUCCUGGAAGACCACAUGGACGCCCUCCAUGGCGAAGUAGCAGCUGCGCUCGGCGUUGCUGUCGCUGUAGAGCAGCGUGGCCCGGCUCCACUGGUGGUGGCGGAAGAGGGCCAGCAGCAUCUCGCCCAUCUUGGCGUAGGCGGGGGCGACGCGGGUGAGGUGCGAGUACUCGCCGCCCUUAGCGCCGAAGCCGGCGGCCAGCGCCCCCGCCGACAGCAUCGGGACGUCCCAGUGCGCGGCCAGCCGCGCCACCGGCGCCGCCGCGUACUCGCAGACGGGCCCCAGCAGCAGGUCGGGGCGGCGGCGGUGCAGGGCCACCAUGUCCACCAGGCUGAAGAGGGCGCGGUUGCCGCACGCCGAGUCCUCGUAGGUGAGCUGGAAGGCGUAGCCGGGCGGCAGGCCGGCGCCGCUCUCCCGCAGGCUCCGCACCGCGUACUCGAUGGCCGGGCGCACCCGCCCCAGCGAGAAGAGGUACGCGUCGUCCUGCGGCAGCAGCACCAGCACCCGGAUCAGCUUCUCCUCCUCCUCCGCCGCCGCCUCCGCGCCCGCGGAGCCGACGCCCAGUGCCGCCCGCGCCGCCAGCACGCAGCAGAGGCUGCCGAGCAGCCAGGGCGGCAUCGCGCCCGCCCCCCCCGCCCCGAAACGCCUGAGCUCCGGCAAACUU